GAAAUGGGCGAUGAACAGAAGAGUUCUAAAGGACUUUGAGGUUGCAUUCUUGGUUUCCUCAUCCUUGGUUUAAUGUAUUAUGCAUAUGCUUUUCACUUCUAAUAAUGAUCUAUUGAGGCAGAUAAAUUGCUCAGCUGGCUUUUGCACUUGAGGAAUAAUCUCAGAUUUUUCAUUACCGUAAGAAAACCAAUUUCUUCUUUCCCAGCAAACAUACGAGCACUUCUGAGCUCCAAGUUUUGCUUUCGAACGGGGAAUCCUAAAGCACUGUUGGCGUUUUGAUGUAGUGGUGGAUGAUUUAACCUGAGCUAGUCAUACUGGAGAACACACCUUCUUUUCUACAUCACGUCCUCUUUGCUAAAGUAUCAUGGAAUUCUCAUUAAGUUCUCCACUAAGAGAUUGCAUCAGCAAUGUCUUCCUCAUUUGCAGACCAUAUGCUUUGUUUAAUCAUAAAACACACUCAAUUUCCAUAAUGACACUGCAAGAUCUUUAGCCUUUCUUUGCUAAUACUCUGGUAUCAAACUGCUUUUCAGCCCACAUGGACGACUGCUAUUGAUUGCAUUGUUCUCUUUGUUUACCUGCUGACUAAUUCUGAAUUCUGUUGGUUUGCUGUACUAGUUUCUUAAUUCAAUUUGAUUGGCAAAAGUUAAUAACAAGUUGCCUCGUUACUGCUUUGACAUAGCAAUAAUGUGUGCCUCAGAGACACAAAGGCGUAGUCUGUGGGCUCUCCUUAGUCCUUUCUCCCCCCCGCACUCAAGAAAAAGGUAUCUUCCCUUGAACAAUGGAAAGCCGAUGAUUUUGUCCGUGCUUGAUGCGAAUCUACUAAAAACUAGGGGUGGUGGAGCUCUGUGGUUCCUCUUCAUGAUUACAUCAUGUUAGAAUAAUCUGCUAGAGAGAACAGUAAAAGUGACUCUUUUAAGUUUGAGCAACACAAUUGAAAGUAGGGAUGGCAAUAGGGUGAGGUUAGGAGCAGGGACAGUUCUCUCACCUCAUAUUUAAACCCUUGCUUCCAGUACCCUGCCUCCUCCCCAUAGCUUCAUGUGUGCCCUGCGAUUGGCUAAUUAUAGUUUUAUUUUUUAUUUUGACAUUAUUUAUCUACGUGUGUAACAUCAAUAACAAUUUUGUAAAUCAUUCUUUUAGAUUUUUGGCAAAAUAUUCAAUGUGAGCUUUCUAAUCAUUUUGAUCUUUUGAAUUCAUUUCUUCACAUUUAGUUGCAAAUCUAAACUUAUAACUAUCAUAUUUAUUUUUAUUUUUUUGGUGAAUAACUUGCAAUAUGUGAAAAGAUUCAAGUAAACUAGAAAUAGUUAAAUCAUCAUUUCAUCAUGCAAAUUAUGAUAUUUUUAGUUAUAAAAUUAUUAUGUAUAUGCCUAUAUUAUUGAUGUGUAAUAACAAUACACGCGCGCGCGCACACACAUAUAUAUAUAUAUAUGUGUAUGUAUAAAACUAUAUAUAAAUAUUUUUUUUAAAAAAAAAUUUAUUAUACCCCGCUCCAUCCCUGCCCCAUUUGAAACGGGGAAAAAAAAUUUCCCCCCACCCGACCCAUUACUUCCCCGCGAGACAGGCACCCCCUAAUUGAAAGUGAAGGCACUGCAGUAAGAAAAGUUUCUCUGCACAAGUGGCCAAUGGCAUAUUUAUUACUACUAAUCAAUAGGGUCAUACUCAUACAUAUAAGUUGCAAAUGUACAGGGCUAUCCACUCAACAGUUUUUAGUAGUACAGCACAUACAACUUGUACUUUGGGUCAUUCCAUUCACAAGUCCUAACGAAACCAAUUUUAUGACAUAAUGCUAUGUAUAUGGUCCUUUGCACGAUGUAGUAGUAUUCAAACUAUGCAAGGUGUUUUUGGAAUUAGUUAGUGGUAUUGAUUUUAGCAAAUUCCAGUGCUUUCUUCCCCUGCAGCUUGUUGGUUACAUAGUUCUUGCUGUACUCUCCAUGGUUGUAUCUUCUGUACUUGCAGGGCUCGUUCUCAUCCACCAGUUCUGGCAUUGGUCCAACUUCUAGAUCAUAACUAGGUGCAUAAAAUGUGACAAUUGAGAGUCUGUCUUUUUCUUUGUGAGUGACUGCUCUGUGUUCUACACUCUUGUAUCUGCCAUUUGUUAGAACCUGUUUAAUUACAAAAGAAUGGCACAUUAGAUUUGUAAAUCAAUAAGUAAAACUAAAAGAAAAGGACAUGAUAUGAUCACAAUCUUUUACCUCUAUGGUGUCACCAAUAUUGAUCACUAAUGCAUUGGGAAUUGGCUGGACAGGUACCCAGGUAUUGUCUUUGAAUAUCUGAAGGCCAACUGAACUGCCCUUUCCUUGUUGCAACACUGUAAGGGCACUUCCAUCUGAAUGAGGACUCAAACCCAAAACAAGAUCAGGUCUAGGGCAUGCUGGAUAAUAGUUCAUUCUCACUGCUUGUACAGCUGCUCCGAACAUGUCUUCGAAGACAUUCUCAUCCAGAGAUAGACCGAUGGCUAUGUACUUUAGCAAAUUCUUGCAUAG
rnacentral:lncRNA from 1 species